GGAACUUCCGCAAUGGACGAAAGUCUGACGGAGCACGCCGCGUGAGUGAUGAAGGUUUUCGGAUCGUAAAGCUCUGUUGUUAGGGAAGAACAAGUACCGUUCGAAUAGGGCGGUACCUUGACGGUACCUAACCAGAAAGCCACGGCUAACUACGUGCCAGCAGCCGCGGUAAUACGUAGGUGGCAAGCGUUGUCCGGAAUUAUUGGGCGUAAAGGGCUCGCAGGCGGUUUCUUAAGUCUGAUGUGAAAGCCCCCGGCUCAACCGGGGAGGGUCAUUGGAAACUGGGGAACUUGAGUGCAGAAGAGGAGAGUGGAAUUCCACGUGUAGCGGUGAAAUGCGUAGAGAUGUGGAGGAACACCAGUGGCGAAGGCGACUCUCUGGUCUGUAACUGACGCUGAGGAGCGAAAGCGUGGGGAGCGAACAGGAUUAAAUACCCUGGUAGUCCCACCGUAAACGAUGAGUGCUAAGUGUUAGGGGGUUCCCCCCCUUAGUGCUGCACUUAACCCAUUAAGCCCUCCCCUGGGGAAUACGGUCGCAAGACUGAACUCAAAGGAAUUGACGGGGCCCGCACAAGCGGUGGAGCAUGUGGUUNAUUNGNAGCAACGCGAAGNACCUUACCAGGUCUUGACAUCCUNUGACAAUUCCUAGAGAUAGGACGUCCCCUUCGGGGGCAGAGUGACAGGUGGUGCAUGGUUGUCGUCAGCUCGUGUCGUGAGAUGUUGGGUUAAGUCCCGCAACGAGCGCAACCCUUGAUCUUAGUUGCCAGCAUUCAGUUGGGCACUCUAAGGUGACUGCCGGUGACAAACCGGAGGAAGGUGGGGAUGACGUCAAAUCAUCAUGCCCCUUAUGACCUGGGCUACACACGUGCUACAAUGGACAGAACAAAGGGCAGCGAAACCGCGAGGUUAAGCCAAUCCCACAAAUCUGUUCUCAGUUCGGAUCGCAGUCUGCAACUCGACUGCGUGAAGCUGGAAUCGCUAGAAUCGCGGAUCAGCAUGCCGCGGGAAC
rnacentral:rRNA from 2 species